GCACUUUGGUCCUCUCCUUCACCCCUGGAAGAAAGCCGUUACAGGCUACUUACAAAACCUGGUGGAUUUGUUGUUCAGCAAGUGUCCAUAUCAGGAGCAAAAGUCUGAGGCAAUAUGUGGCCAGGCACCAGUCCCACUUCAGAUGGAGGACAGGAGAGAUGCCUUGUCAUGGAGUCCCCUGACUAAAAGACAAGUUGUUACAGAUGUUUAAACUGGGAGAGUCUUUGCACUCAGUAUUAAAAUGAUAUAAGACACAUCUAUUAAGAUGAAAGACAAGUGUAAUAUUUGCACAUUGUUAUGUUAGCAGAACACUGUUUCUACAGUAUUAUGUGAAGGAUGGUUUACACUUUAAAGUUAUCAAAACACUUUGUUUGGAAUAUCUACACAAGUCCAGCAAUUGCACUCUUCUCAUAUUACUCUGUAGGCAUUGACCGAUCCAAAGCUUCCCCCUGCCACAUGACUGCACCUGUCCUUAACCUAUAAUACAUGAAAUAUAUGAAAGGGAUUUCAUCACUCACUGGAGACUUGAAGACAGAACCUCACCCAGAGAGUUGUUCAUGUCAAUGUGUGGUUAGACAGCCAAGUCCAUAGAAUAGACCAUAGAAAUAGAAUAGAAUGCCAUGCUAGUUCUGGAACAGCUGAAGUUGUACCAAAGAUUUUUAUGCUCCUUGUGGUUGUACUCUACACACAACUUACUUUCAUUUGCUAGGUAAAGUGUAAGCAUA